rnacentral:rRNA from 1 species
GAUGAACGCUGGCGGCGUGCCUAAUACAUGCAAGUCGAGCGAACAGAUGAUGAGCUUGCUCCUCUGACGUUUGCGGAGGACGGGUGAAUAACACGUGUAUAACCUACCUAUCAGACUGGUAUAACUUCGGGAAACCGGAUCUAAUCCCGUAUAAUCUAUUGAACCGCAUGGUUCAUUAGUAAAAGUCGGUUUUGCUGUCACUUAUAGAUGGUUCCGGGCCGCAUGAGCUGGUUGGUAAGGUAACGGCUUAGCAAGGCGACGAGGCGUAGCCGACCUGAGAGAGUGGUCGGCCACACGAGAGCUGAGACACGGUCCAUACUCCUACGGGAGGCAGCAGUAGGGAAUCGGACGCAGUGGGCGAAAGUCUGACGGAGCAACGCCGCGUGAGAGAUGGAAGUGUUCGGAUCGGAAUACCCUGUUUCGGGGGAAGAACAGAUGUGGACGUAGAUAUGCACGUCUUGACGGUACCUAAUCAGAAAGCCACGGCUAACUACGUG